rnacentral:rRNA from 1 species
UACGGGGGGGGCAAGCGUUGUUCGGAAUUACUGGGCGUAAAGGGUUCGUAGGUGGCCUGCUAAGUCAGACGUGAAAUCCCUCAGCUUAACUGGGGGAACUGCGUCUGAGACUGGUGGGCUUGAGUGCAGGAGAGGAACGCGGAAUUCCAGGUGUAGCGGUGAAAUGCGUAGAUAUCUGGAGGAACACCGGUGGCGAAGGCGGCGUUCUGGACUGCUACUGACACUGAGGAACGAAAGCCAGGGGAGCAAACGGG